GAGGGUGUAGCUCAGUGGCAGAGCACAUGCUUAGCAUGAAGGAGAUCCUGGGUUCAAUUUCCAGCAACUCUA
rnacentral:tRNA from 1 species